rnacentral:rRNA from 1 species
CCUAGCCUCGAGACGUGUUAGCAGGGGGUAGAGCGACUGGAUGGGCGCGGGGGCCAGAGCGGCCUACCAACCCCAACCAAACUCCGAAUACCUGUCUAAUGGACCUCGGGAGGCAGUCGUUGAGCGAUAAUGUCCAACGGCGAGAGGGAAAGAACCCAGAGCCACAGCUAAGGCCCCGAAGUGGCCGCUGAGUAUAGCGAAGGAUGUGUCCCUACUGUGACAACGAGGAGGUUGGCUUAGAAGCAGCCAUUCCUUUAAAGAGUGCGUAAUAGCUCACUCGUCUAGUGGGGAUGCGCCGAGAAUGGUCGGGAUUAAGCGGCCCGCCGAAGCUUGGCCUUCACACUUUGUGUGAGGGGUAGGGGAGCGUUCCUGUAGCAGUGAAGGGCCCGUGGCAAACGUUGGCCUGGAGCGGCAGGAAGUGAGGAUGCCGGACUGAGUACGCGCAAAUGCGGGUGAAAACCCCGCACACCGUAAACCCAAGGGUUCCUGCGCCAUGGCAAUCAGCGCAGGGUGAGGCGGAGCCUAAGGUGAGGCCCCAGAGGCGUAGCCGAUGGUAAACGGGUUGAAAUUCCCGUCCCGUCUGUAUGUGUUGAACCUGCGAGGGACACUGGAACGAAGGAGGAGCGGCUUUGUGGAUUGGCCGUUGAAGCGUGUAGGUCGUGAGACCGAGACGUGACCACGAGGGGGCGGGGCAACCCAACCUCAAGUUCUCUGGAGUCGACUGGCAAGAAAAGCUUGCAGCGGAGCAUACAGAUGUCCGUACCGUAAACCGACACAGGUGGGUGAGGCGAGUAGCCUCAGGUGAACGAGUGAAACGUGGUCAAGGAACUCGGCAUAAUGAUCCCGUAACUUCGGAAGAAGGGAUGUCCAUCUUGGUGAGGUGUACAGCCAAGCUAGGGUGGAUCGCAGUGAAUCGGCCCAAGCGACUGUUUAGCAAAAACACAGGUGUGUGCCAAGCCGCACAAGGCGCCGUAUACACACUGACGCCUGCCCGGUGCCGGAAGGUUAAGGGGAGAGGUUAGCCGCAAGGCGAAGCUUUGAGCCGAAGCCCCGGUAAACGGCGGCCGUAACUAUAACGGUCCUAAGGUAGCGAAAUUCCUUGUCGGGUAAGUUCCGACCUGCACGAAUGGCGUAACGACUUGGGCACUGUCUCGACCACGUGCUCGGCGAAAUGGCAGUCUCGGUGAGGAUUCCGAGUCCCCGCGACAGGACAAAAAGACCCCAUGCACCUUUACUGCAGCUUGUCAUUGGACGUUGCACUACACUGUGUAGCAUAGGUGGGACCCGAUGAGGCGGGGGCGCUAGCUCUCGCGGAGGGACCAGUGAAAUACCACCCUGUGUUGUGCGACGUUCUCACUGCGCGUGAUACACUCACGCCAGGACCGUGGCAGGUAGGCAGUUUGACUGGGGCGGUCGCCUCCGAAACGAAG